UCGACUCUCUGCCACGCCACCAACACCAUGUUCCCUCACAUCGUUCGAAGGCAACACGUCGAGUGAUGAUGCCGAUGAGGAGGAGGAGGAGGAGGAGGAAGAAGAUGAGGAGGAGGAAGAAGUGGAAAGGAGAGGUGGGGAGCAGGGCAGAGAUUUUGUUAGUUUCCAACAGAGAAACUUGGAGGCUGAAGUACGGACUCUGAACUUUGAGAAUCUUUGAAGAAAAGAUCUUAACAUAAACACGUUAGGGUGAGAGGGUCUAUUGAACCAUUUACCACACCACAACAACAAUGACAUUAACAAAAAAGCCUUAACAUUGGUGGGUGCAAUGUAAUGCAGGGGUGGGAGCAAGAGCAGAUCUAUGAAUAUUAGUUCGAUGGAACUGGAUUUGGUGUAAAACUCUGGGUGAGAAAAAGCAUUCUUCUAACUACACAUCACUUGUCCAACUCCAUUCUAUAAUAUGUGUGAGUGAUUUUUCACUUUUUUUUUUUGGUCUAGUUGUAGAGAACUGUGAACUGAAAUGGAUAUUUAAAAUUAUUAAAAAAAAAAAAGGAAAGAAAAGAAAAAUGAAUAACCCCACUCAUUCCCGUUUCCCUUCCCCUCUUUUAUAUGCAUACAUAUAUAUUUUGUAAAAAAAAAUGAAAAGGUUGUAUAACAAAAUAGAAGGAAUCCCUACCCAUCCCCUCAAAAAACUUAUCAGUCUUCAUCCUUCAUCCCCUCUCCUCAGUACUAAUCGAAAGGACCCCAAGGUGGUAUUAUGAUUAUUAUUAUUACCAC